AGAAAGAUAAAUGGAAGAAGAAAAUGGAUGAGUUAACUGAGAUAUAUAAAUCAAGAAUCCCAUUCCUUCAACACUAGAAAUCGAUUCUUCUACUCUAGAAUCAUCACCUUCUUCUAAAUUGAAGUCGCUCUUGAGAACAUCUGAGUAUGCAUGUUUCGAAUCAAGUGACUCUCUUCCAGCACCCAUUGCAUCGAACUACCCAUUGCAUCGAACUCAACUCCUAACCC
rnacentral:lncRNA from 1 species